GACGAACGCUGGCGGCGUGCCUAAUACAUGCAAGUCGAACGCUUCCUUCCUCCCGAGUGCUUGCCCUCAAUUAGAAAGAGGAGUGGCGGACGGGUGAGUAACACGUGGGUAACCUACCCAUCAGAGGGGGAUAACACUUGGAAACAGGUGCUAAUACCGCAUAACAGUUUAUGCCGCAUGGCAUAAGAGUGAAAGGCGCUUUCGGGUGUCGCUGAUGGAUGGACCCGCGGUGCAUUAGCUAGUUGGUGAGGUAACGGCUCACCAAGGCCACGAUGCAUAGCCGACCUGAGAGGGUGAUCGGCCACACUGGGGCUGAGACACGGCCCAGACUCCUACGGGAGGCAGCAGUAGGGAAUCUUCGGCAAUGGACGAAAGUCUGACCGAGCAACGCCGCGUGAGUGAAGAAGGUUUUCGGAUCGUAAAACUCUGUUGUUAGAGAAGAACAAGGACGUUAGUAACUGAACGUCCCCUGACGGUAUCUAACCAGAAAGCCACGGCUAACUACGUG
rnacentral:rRNA from 1 species